rnacentral:rRNA from 1 species
GAUGAACGCUGGCGGCGUGCCUAAUACAUGCAAGUCGAGCGGACGGACGAGAAGCUUGCUUCUCUGAUGUUAGCGGCGGACGGGUGAGUAACACGUGGAUAACCUACCUAUAAGACUGGGAUAACUUCGGGAAACCGGAGCUAAUACCGGAUAAUAUUUUGAACCGCAUGGUUCAAAAGUGAAAGACGGUCUUGCUGUCACUUCUAGAUGGAUCCGCGGUGCAUUAGCUAGUUGGUAAGGUAACGGCUUACCAAGGCAACGAUGCAUGGCCGACCUGAGAGGGUGAUCGGCCACACUGGAACUGAGACACGGUCCAGAGUCCUACGGGAGGCAGCAGUAGGGAAUGUUCCGCAAUGGGCGAAAGCCUGACGGAGCGACGCCGCGUGAGUGAUGAGGGUCUUCGGAUCGUAAAACUCUGUUAUUGGUGAAGAACAUAUGUGUAAGUAACUGUGCACAUCUUGACGGUACCUAAUCAGAAAGCCACGGCUAACUACGUG